UACGGAGGAUCCAAGCGUUAUCCGGAAUUACUGGGCGUAAAGAGUUGCGUAGGUGGCAUCGUAAGUCGGUAGUGAAAGCGUGUGGCUCAACCACAUAUACAUUAUCGAAACUGCGAAGCUAGAGGACGAGAGAGGUACCUGGAAUUCCUAGUGUAGGAGUGAAAUCCGUAGAUAUUAGGAGGAACACCGAUGGUGUAGGCAGGGUACUGGCUUGUUCCUGACACUAAGGCACGAAAGCGUGGGGAGCGAACGGG
rnacentral:rRNA from 1 species